GCCAGGCGCGGUGGUGCAUGCCUGUAAUCUCAGCAGCUUGGGAGGCUGAGGCAGGAGGAUCAUAAGUUCAAAGCCAGCCUCAGGAAAAUCGAGGCCCUAAGCAACACAUUGAGACCCUGUCUCUA
rnacentral:sRNA from 1 species